GUAGGUGGCAAGCGUUGUCCGGAAUUAUUGGGCGUAAAGCGCGCGCAGGCGGUUCUCUAAGUCUGAUGUGAAAGCCCACGGCUCAACCGUGGAGGGUCAUUGGAAACUGGAGAACUUGAGUACAGAAGAGGAAAGCGGAAUUCCACGUGUAGCGGUGAAAUGCGUAGAGAUGUGGAGGAACACCAGUGGCGAAGGCGGCUUUCUGGUCUGUAACUGACGCUGAGGCGCGAAAGCGUGGGGAGCAAACAGGAUUAGAUACCCUGGUAGUCCACGCCGCAAACGAUGAGUGCUAAGUGUUAGGGGGUUUUCCGCCCCUUAGUGCUGCAGCUAACGCAUUAAGCACUCCGCCUGGGAGUACGGCCGCAAGGCUG
rnacentral:rRNA from 1 species